UACGAAGGGGGCUAGCGUUGUUCGGAUUUACUGGGCGUAAAGCGCACGUAGGCGGAUCGUUAAGUCGGGGGUGAAAUCCUGGAGCUCAACUCCAGAACUGCCUUCGAUACUGGCGAUCUUGAGUCCGGAAGAGGUGAGUGGAACUCCUAGUGUAGAGGUGGAAUUCGUAGAUAUUAGGAAGAACACCAGUGGCGAAGGCGGCUCACUGGUCCGGUACUGACGCUGAGGUGCGAAAGCGUGGGGAGCAACAGGAGUAGAUA
rnacentral:rRNA from 1 species